AAGAAGACAAACCCUGGGUUUCUAUAUUUAACGUUUGACCGUCCGUCUUAUUUUAAAAAAUUAUAAAAAAAUUAAAAAGACAAGUCACAUAUAAAGUAUUAAUCAUGUUUUAUCAUCUAACAACAAUGAAAAUACUAAUUAUAAAAAAAUUUAUAUAAGACGGACAGUUAAACGUUAGACACGGAAACACAGGGUUUGUCUUUUU
rfam:Oryza glaberrima chromosome 4 Oglab04_0065_1, whole genome shotgun sequence.